CUCCAACUUGUGCGCUGGAUAGCGAUUUUCGCUCCGUGACAGCCCUCUACUUGCAUAGCCUAUGACUCUAAGUUGUCCCUCUUGCUCCUGAUACAAUACAGCACCAAGCCCGGUGGUACUGGCGUCGGUGUGCAGUAUAUAGGGUUUCUGGGGGUCAGCGAAGGCAAGUACAGGGGCAGUGGUGAGACUUUGGAUGACUGACUCGAAGGCUUCCUGGCAAGCUGGCGUCCAGCGACCUCCGAAAGGGUCUUUUGGGUCAUGGUACUGAUGUGCACUUUGUCUUGCGUUUACUUUUGAUUUCUUGUGGCUAGGUGGGUACCCUGAAGUUAAGUUGUGGAGAGGUUUCACAAUGCUGGAAUACCCCUUAAAGUCCGUUUGGCUCGACACCACCGAACAGAGGCAGCAAUAUAACAUAGCUAACAUUAACAGUGCAGUGAAUCUUCCUUGUGCUGUGAUAUUCAGGACUGCAAACCGAGCAGCAUCACUGACUUUCAGCUUGUUGUGUUUGUGGAUAUAUGACUGACUUUAAUUAUCCACAAAAUCAUCACAAUCUCUGUAAGAUUAAGGUCGACUAUAUAUAUAUAUUUUAAAGUAAAGGCUUUAAAACCAAGUUAAUUCUGAAAGUACAGACAUGACUAAUGUCACAUAACUUUCCCGACAUGUGGCCAACAAUAAUGGUUUAAUGUUCUUCAUUAAAAAAAUAUUUGCGCAUAAAUAAGUGACAUAAUAUUCAGUACUUACUUCUGAAAGUUUACUCUUCCUCCGCUCCACUUCCACCGUUUUUUUUCGGCAAAAUUAUCCACACCACCACCGCACUAUGAAGUCUGGGAUAUGUUGGGCCAUGAAGGCUACACCGACCCAUCCUUAAAAUUCAGGGAAAUUAUGGACUCAUUUGAGGGCCGCAUUUCGAGCAGCCUUUGAAUUGGGAAAGCCUUCUCUUGUCGCUGUGACGUAAUCGGCCUUAAAAUGCGGCCUUUAAGGCUGCAAACCCCAAAUCCGGUCAUUGGUACUUCCUGGCUUGUGUAGUUACUAGGUAACAAAAGCUCAACACUGCCCCUAGCGUCCUGGAGCACUUCCGUUGUGUUUUGGAAUUUGCAUGUGUUUUUGAGUUUGCAAGUGUUUUGGAAUUUGUACGUGUUUUGGAAUUUGCACGUGUUUUGGAAUUUGCAUGUGUUUUUUAGUUUGCAAGUGUUUUGGAUUUUGCAUGUGUUUUGGAGUUUGUACGUGUUUUGGAGUUUGCAUGUGUUUUUUAGUUUGCAAGUGUUUUGGAAUUUGCAUGUGUUUUUGAGUUUGCAAGUGUUUUGGAAUUUGUACGUGUUUUGGAAUUUGCAUGUGUUUUUUAGUUUGCAAGUGUUUUGGAAUUUGCAUGUGUUUUUUAGUUUGCAAGUGUUUUGGAAUUUGCAUGUGUUUUUGAGUUUGCAAGUGUUUUGGAAUUUGUACGUGUUUUGGAAUUUGCACGUGUUUUGGAAUUUGCAUGUGUUUUUUAUUUGCAAGUGUUUUGGAUUUUGCAUGUGUUUUGGAGUUUGUACGUGUUUUGGAGUUUGCAUGUGUUUUUUAGUUUGCAAGUGUUUUGGAGUUUGCAUGUGUUUUGGAAUUUGCAUGUGUUUUGGAGUUUGCAAGUGUUUUGGAGUUUGUACGUGCUUUGUCUCUAGGGUCCACCGUAGGGUCCAUAGCUGUGACACUGGACACGAGUUCUUGAUUCUAUGGAGAUUAACAGUAAUCCAGAAAUUUACAAAUUUGUCCUGGUACAUUGCGUAAAUGUUGUCCCAGGGACAUCGCGUAAAUGUUGUCCCUGGGACAUCGUGUAAAUGUUGUCCCAGGGACAUCGUGUAAAUGUUGUCCCUGGGACAUCGUGUAAAUGUUGUCCCUGGGACAUCGCGUAGAUGUUGUCCCUGGGACAUUGUGUAAAUGUUGUCCCAGGGACAUCGUGUAAAUGUUGUCCCAGGGACAUCGCGUAGAUGUUGUCCCUGGGACAUCGUGUAAAUGUUGUCCCAGGGACAUCGUGUAAAUGUUGUCCCAGGGACAUCGUGUAAAUGUUGGCCCUGGGACAUCGUGUAGAAGUUGCCCUGGGACAUCAUGUUAAAGUUGCCAGAGACAUACCAUAUGAAAGUUUAGCUUCUUUUAGCCCCUGUUUGUUUUAUAUAUAUAUAUAUAUAUAUAUAUAUAUAUAUACAUAUAUAUAUAUAUAUAUAUAUUUUUUUUUUUUU
ensembl:lncRNA